CAGUCGAGGGGCAGCGCAGGUAGCAAUACUGGGCGGCGACCGGCAAACGGGUGCGGAACACGUACGUAACCUUCCUUUAAGUGGGAGAUAGCCCGAAGAAAUUCGGAUUAAUACCCCAUAAGAUUGUGGAGUGGCAUCACUCAGCAAUUAAAGAAAUUCGCUUAAAGAUGGGCGUGCGGCUGAUUAGGUAGUUGGUGAGGUAACGGCUCACCAAGCCAACGAUCAGUAACUGGCGUGAGAGCGCGACCAGUCACACGGGCACUGAGACACGGGCCCGACUCCUACGGGAGGCAGCAGUAAGGAAUAUUGGUCAAUGGACGCAAGUCUGAACCAGCCAUGCCGCGUGAAGGAUGAAGGUCCUCUGGAUUGUAAACUUCUUUUAUAUGGGAAGAAACCACUUUUUUCUAAAGGUGUUGACGGUACCAUAGGAAUAAGCACCGGCUAACUCCGUGCCAGCAGCCGCGGUAAUACGGAGGGCGCAAGCGUUAUCCGGAUUCACUGGGUUUAAAGGGUGCGUAGGCGGAUUAGUAAGUCCGUGGUGAAAUCUCCGAGCUUAACUCGGAAACUGCCGUGGAUACUAUUAAUCUUGAAUACUGUGGAGGUUAGCGGAAUAUGUCAUGUAGCGGUGAAAUGCAUAGAUAUGACAUAGAACACCAAUUGCGAAGGCAGCUGGCUACACAGAGAUUGACGCUGAGGCACGAAAGCGUGGGGAUCAAACAGGAUUAGAUACCCUGGUAGUCCACGCCCUAAACGAUGAUUACUCGACAUUUGCGAUAUACAGUAAGUGUCUGAGCGAAAGCAUUAAGUAAUCCACCUGGGAAGUACGACCGCAAGGUUGAAACUCAAAGGAAUUGACGG
rnacentral:rRNA from 1 species